GGACCCGCACAAGUAGUGGAGCAUGUGGUUUAAUUCGAAGAUACGCGCAGAACCUUACCAGGGUUUGACAUCCUGCGAAUCUCUUGGAAACGAGAGAGUGCCUUCGGGAACGCAGUGACAGGUGGUGCAUGGCUGUCGUCAGCUCGUGUCGUGAGAUGUUGGGUUAAGUCCCGCAACGAGCGCAACCCACGUCGUUAGUUGCCAGCAUUUAGUUGGGCACUCUAGCGAGACCGCCGGUGAUAAACCGGAGGAAGGUGUGGAUGACGUCAAGUCAUCAUGCCCCUUACAUCCUGGGCUACACACGUACUACAAUGCUACGGACAAAGGGCAGCAAACUCGCGAGAGCUAGCAAAUCCCAUAAACCGUGGCUCAGUUCAGAUCGUAGGCUGCAACUCGCCUACGUG
rnacentral:rRNA from 1 species